rnacentral:rRNA from 1 species
AGAGUUUGAUCCUGGCUCAGAUUGAACGCUGGCGGCAUGCUUUACACAUGCAAGUCGAACGGCAGCACGGGUGCUUGCACCUGGUGGCGAGUGGCGAACGGGUGAGUAAUGUAUCGGAACGUACCCGGCAAUGGGGGAUAACGUAGCGAAAGUUACGCUAAUACCGCAUAUGCCCUGAGGGGGAAAGUGGGGGAUCGCAAGACCUCACGUUGCCGGAGCGGCCGAUAUCAGAUUAGCUAGUUGGUGGGGUAAAGGCCUACCAAGGCGACGAUCUGUAGCUGGUCUGAGAGGACGACCAGCCACACUGGGACUGAGACACGGCCCAGACUCCUACGGGAGGCAGCAGUGGGGAAUUU